rnacentral:rRNA from 1 species
GGGUCAGUAGGUUGGUCGUGCCACCGGUACGUACUGGUCUCACUGACUCCUCCUUCCUGAAGAACCGUAAUGCCAUUAAUUUGGUGUUGCGGGGAAACAGGACUGUUACUUUGAAAAAAUUAGAGUGUUUAAAGCAAGCUAACGCUUGAAUACAUUAGCAUGGAAUAAUGAAAUAGGACGAUCGAUCCUGUUUUGUUGGUUUCUAGGAUUGACGUA